rnacentral:tRNA from 1 species
GUUUAAAUAGUUUAAAAAAAAUAUUGAUUUGUGGUGUCAAUGAUAAGACUAUGUCUUUUUAAAUC